rnacentral:rRNA from 1 species
AAUGAACGUUGGCGGCGUGGAUUAGGCAUGCAAGUCGUGCGAGAAACCAAUUAGCUUGCUAUGAGGUGGACAGCGGCGAAAGGGAGAGUAACGCGUGGUUACGUGCCCUCGGGACCGGGAUAGUGUCGGGAAACUGGCAGUAAUACCGGAUAACAUCUUUGGAUCAAAUGGUGUGAUUCCGCCCGAGGAUCGGACCGCGUACUAUUAGCUUGUUGGCGGGGUAACGGCCCACCAAGGCUGCGAUGGUUACCGGUGUGAGAGCAUGGCCCGGCUCACUGGGACUGAGACACUGCCCAGACAUCUACGGAUGGCUGCAGUCGAGAAUCUUCGGCAAUGGACGAAAGUCUGACCGAGCGACGCCGCGUGCGGGAUGAAGGCCCUCGGGUUGUAAACCGCUGUCAGUUAGGAGGAAAUGCAUGAGGGUUCUCUCUCAUGUUUGACCGAUUUUCAGAGGAAGGACGGGCUAAGUUCGUG